rnacentral:lncRNA from 1 species
AGUGUAGACAAUGUCUUCUUGAAACUUGUAGAAAAAUUGUUGGAUCACAACAACCAACUGUGUUGUCGGUACCAGAAACCAUUAUAAGAAUCCAACCACUACAGCAUGAAGAUUUGGAACGUAACUAUAGGGAAGUAAGCUGAUUAACCAUAUUCAGCGUGGUAGUUAUUAAAUUAGUGUUCAUUACAGUUUGUAAUUUUUAGGUGUUUUACUUUGAGCUCAAAUGUAAAUAUACAUUAGUUAACAAUUUGAGUGCAUAUUUUUCAACAAUAUUCUGCAGUAAGUAAUUAUUUGAACCGUUAAUAUAAAGCGCCUUAAAAAAAUUAAUUUAAAUAGAUUUCUUUUUUUUACUCAAUCUAAAUAGAUUUUCGAAUCAAGUGGUUUUUAUGUAAAUUAUAAUUCUAGUAACAUAUUAUUGGGAAAUUUUGGGAUAAGAAUAAAGAGAUCGAUGUAUAUUAUUUAAAUUUAAAGUGCACGUCAUUAUCAGUGACUUUUGAUAAUAUUAAUGGUAAAACUUUAAUAAAAUAUAUGCCAAAUCAUUUUAUUGCUAAAAUUAAGCCAAAUGCAAAAUAUCCCAGCCUAGGAUGUUUGAUCAAAAUUUAGGAGGGGAGUAAAAAUUGAUUUUGAUUCCUCCCGUUUUGGAGGGAAUUUAGAGGAAAAGAGAGAGACUCAAGAUAAAUAAAAAGUUAUUUAAAAUUUCUCUUCUCUUAAACGAAACACAAAAUUAUUAAAAACUAUCUUCUUCUCUCUCCUCUUUUGAACUAAAUAUGUCUACUUUCCUCUAUUCACCUCCAUUAAAAUCUAUGGUUUUACAUUGAAUCAAACGGACCUUAAAGAGACAUAUUUAAUGGCACAUACUAAUAAAAUUUUAUAAGUUCAAGAACGGGUUUGUUACAAAUACAAUCAUUCAAACAUGAUUUUGAAAACAUAAUAUGAUGAUAUCUAAAUACUUAUUACGAUGAAUUUGUUAUAAUCACCCUGACCUACGGUGAUUCCGACAAACCUAUUUCAUACCAAACAUCAACUAAAAAAUGACUUUUAAUCAAGUCUUAAGUUUUACUUGGUUUUGAAAGUAUAUUGAGGUUUAGUAAAAAAAAGUAUGCUGAGAAGUUUAAAAAAGUGUGUUGGAAAGUGAAAAAAAAAAUAUGUAUUCAAUUGGGAAUUUUCUACUAAAGAUAAUUUAACACCUAUAAAAAAUCUUUUACACAUGUCAAACUUUAAUACUUGUAUUGGUUAACGGUUGGUUAACUUCUGUCUCGUGAAAGUAUUGAAAUUUAACAUAUGAUCUCCCUCUAACAAAAUAAAACCCUCAAAUUAACAAAAUAACGAAUUGAAUUGAACAGGUGAACAGAUAAGGAGAACCCAAAUAAGACAAGCAACCACUUGGAUUCAGGUUAUAAAACAUUUGGUCACAUCAAGUGUCAUGUGAGAGCAACUGGAGGUGUAAAUAGCGGCUAGGAGGAAAAACAAAACAAAAUUACAAAGUGGCGUACUUUAUUAUCCAGUCAAUGGAGCAUAUAUAGGUUAAAUGGAAGCUGAGGCGGAAACCACAUAUUCAAUCUCCAAUCAAAUAAGUAUACUGUCUAAAAUAAAAGGGUAGUAAUGUAGUAACAUAUCAUAGUAUAUAGCUCCCACACAAAGAAGACUCAUUACCAGCACUGACUAACAACACAAUAUCCCGGGCGGCUGAAUUUUGAUUUGCUUGAGCUAACGCACUAUAUAACGGAUAGAGGAAGCAGGGCAGUAUAGGUAAUUUAUAGUUAAAGAAAAUUGUGAAGUUUUUAUAUUGGAAGUUACUAGGGAACAAACUAUAUACUAGAAUAGGCAAUUGUUAGAAGGAAAAUUUCACAUUCACAUAGAAUAUAUAGGGGAUCAAUCAUUAAAAAUUGUUCAAAACAUUGAUGCCGACAUUGUCACAUUUAAAUAUAACUUCAUGGUCUUUUAUGUCCUUACGAUGAAAAUAGUGAUUUGAUCGAUAUUGAUUUAUUAAAAAUAAAAAAUAAUGAAUAUAAAUUAAAUUCGAAGACACUAAUAUUAGAAAUCAAUAGUUAUAUUAGUUUUUUCGGAUUUAAAAUUAGGACUCCUUUUUAAUACGCCUUCGAUCUCCAUUAUUUCAAUCAAUUAUCAAACAUCAGUCUACCAUAGAUUAAUAUACUAUACCUUUUCACCAUAAUGCCACAAGAUAUAAGGGCAAAUCAGAAUUCGGAAGGAAAGAAAACAAGAUAAACGAGAAAGCUGGAGGCAAAAUAUAAAAAUUGCAUAAUAGAUGAGAGAGAAGGAUGGAAUAAAAAGUCCAGAUGAAAUGCGCCAAUAAUUCACAUCUGACAUUAUUUCCCCAAGAUUCCUAGUAUUCCACUAUUCUAUAAUUGAUUUGUGACCUAAACGCUAGCUUAGUGUUGUCAAAAGAAAAAGGCAAACUUAGUAGAUUUGUAACCUAUUUUGAAUUAAAAAGUAGAGACACAAGUGUCAGAUUCCAUCUUUUUUUAUAUGACCAAAUUAGAUUCCAUCUCUAAUUAGUAAAAACAAAAUCAGUGCAUGAUUAAGAUUAAAAGUAAGAAUACUUGGAGAAUGAUGUAGAAGAUUAAGGAAAGUAUUACUAUUACUGUUUCACAAAACUAGGAAAAUUAACUCAUCUAAACGUACAGAUAUUUUGACAUGAUUUCAACCACUAAAUUUUUUGGAUGUUUAGUACAUAAGUCAUUGAAGUAUUUUUUCUAGUAGCAGCUGCAACUAUGUGCAAAAAUAUAAAAUUCAACCAUUACAGCUCAAAGGAAAAAAGUAAAACAUAUAGCAAACAAAUGGAAUGUAUGGUAAGCAUACUUUGUCAUAAAAUUAGAAGGUGUGACAUUUCCUUUCAUCAAUAUAUAAUGUGCCAUUGAUUCCUAACCUCUAAGACAACAAGAAACCAGAAUAAGACCAGUAUCAUUAGGAACUUAAUUUUUUGGAGAAUGAGAAAUAGACUGAAGUUAGAAGAUUUUGCAUGACAGAGUUCUUGAUGAAGGAAGUAAUAAUUAACGAUUUUCAACUUAAGUGACUAAAAUGUUAUUUCGUUAGUUUGAAUGACUAAAUUGUCUGACCCUUACAAUUUCAAAGACUAAAAUAGUGAUUAACUCAAAUAAAUAACUAUAUCAAAUCAUAGUGUCCCUGCGUGCGUGGAUUAAAGAAAAAGUAGUUCGGUCGGGUAUUGCCAUCCCGAUCAUCAUGUGGGUCAUAUUGUGCAAUAGAAAUAGAAGGGUGUUUGACAACCAGGACACUCUUUUAUCUUUUCCAGUUGUAAAGAUAUCAGCCCUUACUCUCAUGACUCGUCGGGCUUUCGAGUACUCUAUUUCUAAUAUUCUGAGUCAUACUACGAGACAGGUUGGUCGGAAGGGAGGGGAUAUGGAUAAUUUGGUUUUCAAUGUAGAUGGCAGUACACUUAUGAACUCAGGUAAAGCCAAAUUUGGAGGUUUAGUCACGAAUUAUUUGGGAGAAUUUGUUUGCAGUUUCCAAGGGAGUGUUGGGUUAUCUAAUUACCUUCGUGCAUAAAUUAAGGUGUUGCAAAAAGGAAUUAAGGUUUAUUUGAACUUGGGUUAUAAGAAGGUGUUGUGUUACUCAAACUCUUUUUUGUACCAUCCAACCGGCACACAUAGUAGAUCACCUUCAUGAUCGAUAUGAGAAUGAGUUAGCUUCAAAUCAUCAAAGAUUACAUAAAAAGUAACUGGUCCUUUAUUUUGUGCCAUACCCUCCGUGAAGGAAAUCAGUGUUGUUGUUAUCUUUGCUAAGAUGGGAGCUUCCUCUUCUGAACCUUUAUUAGCUUGCUAAGAGGGUAGUUGAAUUUACUAUAAGCAGAUAGGCAGAGCGAGACCAAGAAAAACUAUAAAAGAAACUAUUAAGAAAGACCUGAGAUUAUUGAACCGAAUAAAUGCUUAAAAACUAUUAAGACUAAAUAUUUUUUAUAUAUAAGAGAGGUAACUCAUAUAUCCAAUAAAUUAAGAUGGAAAUGUAGUGUCCAAGUCUCUUGUGUGGUUGCUCUUAACCUAAUGUGAUAGUCCUGUAGGCUCCCCUCAUAAUCCAUCAGUAGCGUUGUUUGAUCCAUGUAGCAGACCCUACUUAGUGUGAUAAGGUUUUGUCGCCCAUCCCUUUCUUGAGAAUGUAAUAUUUUCUUUUUGUUUUUGUUUUUUGUUUUUUUUCCCUGGUGUAACCAAAAUAUAUACCUAUGUCUAUGGUAACUAUACCUAAAUGUAAUCACCGUUAUUAUCAUUGAUCUUAUAGCAUAAACCUUUAUUCAAAUGAGCCUUGAUUAUCAAAUAAUUAAUAAAACAAGUUAUUUUUACUAAGCUCUUGGACAACCAACUUGCUUAACAUAAUAAAGCAUGGAAAACAAAAGACCUUCAGGUUUAGCGAACCCAAAUAUAGCAGCAUUAUCUUAUCUGGUUAAUUUUAGGGAAAGUAUAGAUAAUGCGUAAUUCGAAUGCAAAUGAACAGGAAAUAUUUGAUGCAAUGUGGCGCAUAAUACAUUUAUAUCUAUGCGAAGAAAAUUUCUAAGCUAUCUAUGAGAAGAGGGAAUUCGUACCUUUCGAUUGAAGCAUUAGAGCUGGAAGGAAACGAUUUUGUACAUGAUAUACAAUUAGGUCGUCGAUUGAAGAAGGGAGACAAUCUUCACGAAUUUUGUCUUUUAUUGAACUGAUAUAUGCUUGCUGCAUCACGGAGGUAUUGAGCGGGAGUUAAAAGGGAUGAAAAAAAUAUUGUUGAUCAUCAACUUUGUUCUUUAAUUUGUAUCUCUCGUCAUUUCAGUCUCCUAAAUUGGCCAAACAAAUAAUACAUUCUUCAAACCGGAGUCGAGGGACUUUGUAUUACGAAUAAAAUUACUCUUUAAGGUAUUUUCUUUUAAAUUAUUUGCUCUUAAACUUUCAAAUGCACCCUUAAAUGUGUCUGGCCCUCAAGUUUGGAUUUCCUUCACAAGGGGAAUCAGGAAUUCAUCUCGUUAAAGCUCCGUAAUUCGUUUGAUAGAGA